UAUGGCCUACGGGGCGCAGCAGUGAGGAAUAUUGGUCAAUGGGCGCGAGCCUGAACCAGCCAAGUAGCGUGAAGGAUGACUGCCCUACGGGUUGUAAACUUCUUUUAUAAAGGAAUAAAGUGAGGUACGUGUGCCUUUUUGUAUGUACUUUAUGAAUAAGGAUCGGCUAACUCCGUGCCAGCAGCCGCGGUAAUACGGAGGAUCCGAGCGUUAUCCGGAUUUAUUGGGUUUAAAGGGUGCGUAGAUGGGUUGUUA
rnacentral:rRNA from 1 species